UACGUAGGGCGCAAGCGUUGUCCGGAAUUAUUGGGCGUAAAGAGCUCGUAGGCGGUUUGUCGCGUCUGCUGUGAAAACCUAAGGCUCAACCUUGGGCUUGCAGUGGGUACGGGCAGACUAGAGUGCGGUAGGGGUGACUGGAAUUCCUGGUGUAGCGGUGGAAUGCGCAGAUAUCAGGGAGGGAACACCGAGUGGGCGAAGGCAGGUCACUGGGCCGCAACU
rnacentral:rRNA from 1 species